rnacentral:rRNA from 1 species
UACGUAGGGGGCAAGCGUUGUCCGGAGUUACUGGGCGUAAAGCGCACGCAGGCGGUCGAUUAAGUUUGGAGUGACAGUUGGUGGCUUAACUGCCAAAGUGCUUUGAAAACUGAUCGACUUGAGGGCUUCAGAGGGACACGGAAUUCCGGGUGGAGUGGUGAAAUGCGUAGAGAUCCGGAGGAACACCGAAGGCGAAGGCAGCCCCCUGGGCUGACACUGACGCUGAGGCACGAAAGCGUGGGGAGCAAACAGG